UACGAAGGGUGCAAACGUUGCUCGGAAUUAUUGGGCGUAAAGCGCACGUAGGCGGCUUAGCAAGUCGGAUGUGAAAUCCCUCGGCUCAACCAAGGAAGUGCAUCCGAAACUGCUGAGCUUGAGUACUUAAGAGGAUCGCGGAAUUCCCGGUGUAGAGGUGAAAUUCGUAGAUAUCGGGGAGGAACACCAGUGGCGAAGGCGGCGAUCUGGGCAUGAUCUGACGCUGAGGAGCGAAAGUGU
rnacentral:rRNA from 1 species